GCACCAGUUGUGUAUGGAGCACGCGUCGGCCCAUUCGAUGGAAAGCAACCAUUAUCUCGACGAGACGGGGUUCGAUUCCCCGCUGGUGCG